GAACGAGAAAGUGGAGCAAUCCAUGAGUAAAGUGGCGUCCGGGUGAGUAACACGUGACUAACCUACCUUUGAGUGGGGGAUAACAUCGGGAAACCGAUGCUAAUACCGCAUAACAUCGCAAGAUCAAAGCAGCAAUGCGCUUAAAGAGGGGGUCGCGGCUGAUUAGCUAGUUGGCGGGGUAACGGCCCACCAAGGCGAAGAUCGGUAUCCGGCCUGAGAGGGCGCACGGACACACUGGAACUGAAACACGGUCCAGACUCCUACGGGAGGCAGCAGUGGGGAAUUUUGCGCAAUGGGGGAAACCCUGACGCAGCAACGCCGCGUGGAGGAUGAUGUCCCUUGGGACGUAAACUCCUUUCGACCAAGACGAUAAUGACGGUACUGGUGGAAGAAGCACCGGCUAACUCUGUGCCAGCAGCCGCGGUAAUACAGAGGGUGCAUGCGUUGUUCGGAAUUAUUGGGCGUAAAGGGCGCGUAGGCGGCGCGA
rnacentral:rRNA from 1 species